UGUUCCUUCUUCCCAAGCAGCCUGAAGCCACCAGCUUGUGUGCUCAGGGCCACAGGUGUGGCUUUCCUGGAGCCAAAAUAACGCUUCAAGCUUGCCUAGCCCAGGACUCUGUGUUCCCACUUGCUGCCCAGCUCCCCACCCCAGCAUGCCUGGCUGCUCCCCAGGAAACAGGGCAAACAAGCUUCUAUUGAUUGCCGUCAUGGCUGGGAGAAUGCGCCUUUGUUGCCUCCACGCCUCCUCCCCCAGGGUCCGUGCCCACAGGACAGGUGUUCAGGCUGUGAGAUUCUGGUCUUCAGAUGCCAGCCUGACCCUAAUCUCCUUCCUCAUCUUCUCUUCGAUGUGACACUCCACUCCCAGGGCGUCAUCAAGGCAGACGUUCUGUCCUCUGUGUUCCUGCCCGUGAUGUGCCAGAGUAGAUGAACACAUCCACGGGAGCCCAUUCGGGACAAGGACGUGCAAGAGUGGACACGGCCUUCUCCUCUUGCGAGGGGGCCCCCCGCCAUGAGAAUCCAGAAGGACAUCGCUGUGACACUAACUUCAGUGAACCGGCAGUCAUCAAGAAGAACCAGGGACCAGUGCUCAUUCCAGGGCUGUGCACUGUACAUCUCAUUGUUUCCCUGGGCACAUGGUGUCAGGGAUUCAGAAAUAUUACAGAGGCCUUGGCUGCUUGCAAAACUGUGAUGCCUUGCUGGCACCAGCCGGUUUUAAACCUUUUCCUUUUGGGUUAGAUUUGGGAUGUCAGCAGUAAUAACAAUCAACAGUAGCUGCUUUACCAACUACAAAUAAAGUCUCUCGUCUUUCUACUGA